ACAACAAUUAGAUACGCUCAAAUAGAUGUAUCAUCUACAACUUCUGAGGAGCACAAUUAGUAUCUCCCUUGGAUAUAUCAUUAAUUAUCAGACUUCUUGGACAAAUAAGCUUGCGAAGCCUCUUCAAUAGUGUCAAGAGUGCAUAACCGUACUUUCUUAUGCCUAAUUCGGUCUGUAAUCAAAGCACCAUAUCUCCCGUUCUUUUGCUAACGGAUGGAGCUCCAUAGCUCAUUUGAAACUUCACAACACAAUAUAGCAUGAGAUUUUGCAAGUUUUAGGUAGUAUAGUGCAAUCUUUUUUACGAGAAUCGGUUCAGGUAUUUUAAGGUAAUCCUUUUUUUCUUUUGGCAUGGUUCAAAGAUACAAAUGAAACGAGCAAAAUACGCAACUUUCAUAAAUGACUCUAUUCAUAGAAAUACUAGGGGUUUCUUUAUUCUUGAUUCCCCAUGUGAAUUAUUAUUAUAUCUUAUGUUCAUGGGUCUCAGAAAAAUACGCAUUUGAUAAAGUUUCUCCGAAAGUCAUACUGAUUUUAAUGACAUUCCGAGAAAUCUUAUUAAUAUAUUUCUUAUGCAUUUCAUGCAUUUGUACAUAUACAUUGACCCAUGACCAGAUGACGUUAUAUACGUGUAUAUUAUAUGUAUACGGGAUAUGAGAAAAGGUUAUGGCGUUAAAUAUGCACCACCACCUGAUCAGCUUGUAUACAUUGAUGAUGUUGCCCACAGUGGUUGAAAUGAUAUGAUGGGAUGCCCUCAGAGGCUUGAUGAUGUUAUGAACGCAUAUACCCAUGCAUGGUAUGACAUUUAUACGCAUNNNNNNNNNNNNNNNNNNNNNNNNNNNNNNNNNNNNNNNNNNNUUCCUUACAUACUCGGUAUAUUAUUUGUACUGACGUCCAUUUGGCUUGGGGACGCUGCGUUUUAUGCCCUCAUGUCUCGAUAGACAGGUCGAGAGUCCUCCAAGUAGGCGAUCAGCUCAGCGGAAGAUGUUGGUGCACUCCAUUUACUCCUGAGUUGCUUGUUUGGUCAGUAUAAUUUAGAUGUGUAUUGUUUGGUAUGACGGGGCUUUGUCCCGAACUUUAUGACAUUUAUGCACUCUUAGAGGCUUGUAGACAUAUGUCGUAUACGUGAAAGAUUGUACGGCCUUGUCGGCCUAUGUUUUGAGUUUAUAAAUGAUCAUGUUAGCCUUAUAGACCCAUAUAUCAUGUGUAUAUGAUGAUGUAAUAAGAAAGAUACGUUAUAUUUGUACCCGGUUGAGUAAGGUACCGGGUGCCCGUCGCGACCCAUCGGUUUGGGUCAUGAUAGCUUAUGUACUCACGCUACACUUCUGUACUAACCGUGCAGGAUCUGAGGCAAAUGCAUCUGGCGGUCAUACCGGCGCGCGUCCCAGAUAUCCCGAGGUCUAGUGGUCAGCUGCUUCCCGAGCAGUUAUGCAAUUCCUAGAGUCUCUAUUCUGUAUUUAUAUUUUGUCUACUCUAUUUCGGACAGUAGCUAGAGUUUUGUAUAUUUUAAUAGUUGCUCAUAAACUUGUGACACCAGGUCUUGGAAAUUAUACUAGUAGACACAUGUUGAUUUUGAUUAUCUAUUUCCUCUCAUUUACUCUUAAAUAGUCUAUUGGGUCGUGAUAGCUUAUGUACUCACGCUACACUUCUACACUAACCGUGCAGGAUCUGAGGCAAGUGCAUCUGGGGGUCAUACCGGCGCGCGUCCCAGAUAUUCCGAGGUCUAGUGGUGAGCUGCUUCCCGAGCAGUUAUGCAGUUCCUAGAGUCUCUCUUCUGUAUUUAUAUUUUGUCUACUCUAUUUCGGACAGUAGCUAGAGUUUUGUAUAUUUUAAUAGUUGCUCAUAAACUUGUGACACCAGGUCUUGAAAAUUAUGCUAGUAGACACAUGUUAAUUUUGAUUAUCUAUUUCCUCUCAUUUACUCUUAAACAGUC
rnacentral:lncRNA from 1 species